GAAUGAGAUGAUGACUAUUAUUUCCCUAUUGGUUUGAUUGCCGCAAUGAUGGCACAAUCAGUAUUAGCUCUAGCUGAUCGCUC